rnacentral:rRNA from 1 species
AGCGAACGCUGGCGGCAGGCCUAACACAUGCAAGUCGAACGAACCUUUCGGGGUUAGUGGCGGACGGGUGAGUAACACGUGGGAACGUGCCUUUAGGUUCGGAAUAACUCAGGGAAACUUGUGCUAAUACCGAAUGUGCCCUUCGGGGGAAAGAUUUAUCGCCUUUAGAGCGGCCCGCGUCUGAUUAGCUAGUUGGUUGAGGUAAUGGCUCACCAAGGCGACGAUCAGUAGCUGGUCUGAGAGAAUGAUCAGCCACAUUGGGACUGAGACACGGCCCAAACUCCUACGGGAAGCAGCAGUGGGGAAUCUUGCGCAAUGGGCGAAAGCCUGACGCAGCCAUGCCGCGUGAAUGAUGAAGGUCUUAGGAUUGUAAAAUUCUUUCACCGGGGACGAUAAUGACGGUACCCGGAGAAGAAGCCCCGGCUAACUUCGUG